GUGCUCGCUUCGGCAGCACAUAUGCUAAAAUUAGAAUGGUACAGAGAAAAUUAGCAAGGCCCCUGUGCAAGUAUAACACGCAAACUCAGGAAACAGUCCAUAUUUUU